rnacentral:ncRNA from 1 species
UCCAUCGUGAGGUGGAAUAUGAAGGAAGCCCUAGGCAAAAUCCCGGUCUGAGGAACACGAACCACAUAUAAGGCUACCUAGGAUGGACGAGUCUGCAUAACAAGAUGAAGUCCAACACUAUCUGAAUUCAACGUAGUAAAUGUGGCAGAUAUAUGGGAUGAAGGUGAACGUA